rnacentral:rRNA from 1 species
UUGACGGGACCGCACAAGCGUGGAUGAUGUGGUUUAAUUCGAUGCAACGCGAAAACUUACCACCUUUGACAUGUACGGAAUCCUUUAGAGAUAGAGGAGUGCUCGAAAGAGAGCCGUAACACAGGUGCUGCAAUGGCUGUCGUCAGCUCGUGUCGUGAGAUGUUGGGUUAAGUCCCGCAACGAGCGCAACCCUUGUCAUUAGUUGCUACAUUCAGUUGGGCACUCUAAUGAGACUGCCGGUGACAAACCGGAGGAAGGUGGGGAUGACGUCAAGUCCUCAUGGCCCUUAUAGGUGGGGCUACACACGUCAUACAAUGGAUGGUACAAAGGGUCGCCAACCCGCGAGGGGGAGCCAAUCCCAUAAAGCCAUUCGUAGUCCGGAUCGCAGUCUGCAACUCGACUGCGUGAAGUCGGAAUCGCUAGUAAUCGUGGACCAGAAUGUCACGGUGAAUACGUUCCCGGGUCUU